rnacentral:tRNA from 2 species
CACUAGGAAGCUAAACUGGAUUAAAGCAUCAGCCUUUUAAGCUGAAAAUUGGUGACCUCCACCCACCUCUAGUGA